rnacentral:rRNA from 1 species
GAUGAACGCUGGCGGCGUGCCUAAUACAUGCCAGUCGAACGCUGAAGGAGGAGCUUGCUCUUCUGGAUGAGUUGCGCACGGGUGAGUAACGCGUAGGUAACCUGCCUGGUAGCGGGGGAUAACUAUUGGAAACGAUAGCUAAUACCGCAUGACAACAGUUAUUUCAUGAUAACUGUUUAAAAGGGGCAACUGCUCCACUACCACAUGGUCCUGCGUUGUAUUAGCUAGUUGGUGAGGUAACGACUCACCAAGGCGACGAUUCAUAGCCGACCUGAGAGGGGGGUAGGCCACACUGGGAGGUGGACACGGCCCAGACGCCUUAGGGAGGCAGCAGGAGGGAAGCGUAGGCAAAGGACGGGAGGCUGGACGAAGAACGGCGAGUGAGUGAAGGAGGGUUUCGGAUCGGAAAGAUCGGUUGUAAGAGAAGAACGAGGGUGAGAGUGGAAAGUGCACAUUGUGACGGUACCUAAACAGAAAGCGACGGCUAACUACGUG